rnacentral:rRNA from 1 species
GACAUAGGUGGCGAACGUUAUCCGGAAUUAUUGGGCGUAAAGGAUGCGUAGAUGGUAGAAUAAGUUACUGGUCGAUGCCAAACUCAAUUUGGCGGAAGCCGAUAAUACUGUUCUACUCGAGGGCAGGAGAGGUUGUUGGAAUUCUGUGUGGAGCGGUGAAAUGCGUUGAUCUACAGAGGAACACCAAAAAAGGCGAAGGCAAUCAACUAUUCUGUUCCCGACAUUGAGGCAUGAAAGCGUGGGGAGCAAACCGG